UGAACGCUGGCGGCGUGCUUAACACAUGCAAGUCGAACGAAGCAUUUGCGACAGAUUUCUUCGGAUUGAAGUUGCUUAUGACUGAGUGGCGGACGGGUGAGUAACGCGUGGGUAACCUGCCUCACACAGGGGGAUAGCAGUUAGAAAUAGCUGCUAAUACCGCAUAAGCGCACAGUUCCGCAUGGAACAGUGUGAAAAACUCCGGUGGUGUGAGAUGGACCCGCGUCUGAUUAGCCAGUUGGCGGGGUAACGGCCCACCAAAGCGACGAUCAGUAGCCGGCCUGAGAGGGUGAACGGCCACAUUGGGACUGAGACACGGCCCAAACUCCUACGGGAGGCAGCAGUGGGGAAUAUUGCACAAUGGGGGAAACCCUGAUGCAGCGACGCCGCGUGAGUGAAGAAGUAUUUCGGUAUGUAAAGCUCUAUCAGCAGGGAAGAAAGUGACGGUACCUGAAUAAGAAGCCCCGGCUAACUACGUG
rnacentral:rRNA from 1 species